CUUCUUUUUUUUUUUGCAGAUUUUUUGUACUUUUUUUUGUACCAUUUUCUACUGUGGCAAUGUCCUGGUGAAACCUUUCCUUGUGUUUGUCACCUAGAUUUUUGGGAAAGAAGUCCAAGUGUGAAUGCAGAAUCUUCAGUGACAUGUUACACUUCAAUUCAACUAAUCUUCAGUGACAUGUUGCACUUCAAGGUCUAGUAUGCUGUAACAGGUUUUUCAGUUUUUGCCCUGAUUUAUGUUCGGGAUGACUCUGUAGUUACUCUUGAACAGCUUGUGUACAUACCCUGAGGAGUAUUGGCCCGUUGUUUUCUGCCAGAAGAUGACGCUGGAGGGAUACGGCUCAGGCUUUCUGUUAAAGACAGAAGAAAAGAGUCAAAGUAAUGUUCAAGAUAAGGCUCUCUGUCAUGGAACCCCUGCUUCUGACUCCCGGGACAUCCUCUGCCAGAAGGCCAAGGCCAUCUCUCAGCUCUUCCUCCCAAUAUCGUAACUGAACAGGCUUUCCCCUAAUGUACUCUCCACAUAGACGCUUCUUCAUCUUUCUGUUGACUGUCGACCAUCAAUCAUAGAACCUGCACAUGAAAGAAAAACAUUAUUAGUUACAUAAAUUAGAAACCAAACAGAUUUAUUUUUUUCUACAACAACCUGUUGUUUCACACAGUGAUGGAUCCAUAUGCAGUAUAUACACGUUACAACAUUUCCAUGUAUGUUAAUGUUCUGUAUGUGGCUGUGCCAAAUAAAUAUUUUUGUGAAGUA